rnacentral:lncRNA from 1 species
UGUCCCCGAUGUCCCCUGGAUGUCCCCUCAAUGUCCCCAAUGUCCUCAAUGUCCCCAUGUCCCCUGGAUGUUCCUAUGUCCCCAAUGUCCCUAAUGUCACCCCGGAUGUCCCCGAUAUCCCCUCAAUGUCACCCCGCUGUCCCCUGGAUGUCCCCAUGUCCCCAAUGUCCCCAAUGUCACCCCGCUGUCCCCAUGUCCCCAAUGUCCCCAAUGUCCCCGCUGUCCCCUGGAUGUCCCCUCAAUGUCCCCAAUGUCCUCAAUGUCCCCCCACUGUCCCCUCAUGUCCCCAUGUCCCUGAUGUCCCCAAUGUCACCCCACUGUCCCCGCUGUCCCCAUGUCCCCGAUGUCCCCAAUGUCACCCCGCUGUCCCCUGGAUGUCCCCAAUGUCCCCAUGUCCCCAAUGUCACCCCGAUGUCCUCAAUGUCCCCGAUGUCCCCUCAAUGUCACCCCUCAAUGUCCCCUGGAUGUCCCCAUGUCCCCGAUGUCCCCUCAAUGUCCCCUGGAUGUCCCCUCAAUGUCACCCCGCUGUCCCCUGGAUGUCCCCAUGUCCCUGAUGUCCCCAAUGUCACCCCGCUGUCCCCAUGUCCCCAAUGUCCUCAAUGUCCCCGAUGUCCCCUGGAUGUUCCCAUGUCCCCAUGUCCCCUCAAUGUCCCCGAUGUCCCCUGGAUGUCCCCAUGUCCCCAAUGUCCCCAAUGUCCCCAAUGUCACCCCUCAAUGUCCCCUGGAUGUCCCCGCUGUCCCCAUGUCCCCAAUGUCACCCCGAUGUCCUCAAUGUCCCCGAUGUCCCCUGGAUGUUCCCAUGUCCCCAAUGUCCUCAAUGUCCCCGAUGUCCCCUGGAUGUCCCCAUGUCCCCAAUGUCCUCAAUGUCCCCAAUGUCACCCCUGGAUGUCCCCAUGUCCCCAAUGUCCCCAUGUCCCCAAUGUCACCCCUGGAUGUCCCCAAUGUCCUCAAUGUCCCCAAUGUCACCCCGCUGUCCCCAUGUCCCCAAUGUCCCCAAUGUCCCCAAUGUCACCCCUGGAUGUCCCCAUGUCCCCAGUGAUUACAUCAUCAAGGAGAAGACGGUGCUGCUGC